UACGUAGGGCGCAAGCGUGUCCGGAAUUAUUGGGCGUAAAGAGCUCGUAGGCGGUCUGUUACGUCCGCUGUGAAAACCCAGGGCUUAACCCUGGGCUUGCAGUGGAUACGGGUAGACUAGAGGCAGGUAGGGGAGAAUGGAAUUCCCGGUGUAGCGGUGAAAUGCGCAGAUAUCGGGAGGAACACCAAUGGCGAAGGCAAGCUCGCUGGGACGGUACUGACGCUGAGGCGCGAAGGCCAGGGGAGCAAAGCAGG
rnacentral:rRNA from 1 species